GACGAACCGUGCGAACGUUGUUCGGAUUCACUGGGCUUAAAGGGCGCGUAGGCGGGUGAUCAAGUUCCGGGGUGAAAUCCUUCAGCUCAACUGGGAGAAUAGCCUUGGAUACUGGUCGCCUCGAGGGAGGUAGGGGCGGGCGGAACUUCCGGUGGAGGCGGUGAAAUGCGUAGAUAUACGGAAGGAACGCCGGUGGCGAAAGCGGCCCGCUGGACCUCUACUGACGCUGAGGCGCGAA
rnacentral:rRNA from 1 species